UGAACCUGAGAGUUUGAUCCUGGCUCAGAACGAACGCUGGCGGCAUGCCUAACACAUGCAAGUCGAACGAAGGCUUCGGCCUUAGUGGCGCACGGGUGAGUAACACGUGGGAACCUGCCUUUCGGUUCGGGAUAACGUCUGGAAACGGACGCUAACACCGGAUACGUCCCCCAGAGAGAUUUGGGCGGAGAAAGUUUACGCCGAGAGAG
rnacentral:rRNA from 1 species